UACGGAGGGUGCGAGCGUUGUCCGGAAUCACUGGGCGUAAAGGGCGCGUAGGCGGCGCGGGAAGUCAUCGGUGAAAGUUCAGGGCUCAACUCUGAAUCGGCCGGUGAUACUCUCGUGCUUGAGCACUGUAGAGGCAGGUGGAAUUCCGGGUGUAGCGGUGGAAUGCGUAGAGAUCCGGAGGAACACCGGUGGCGAAGGCGGCCUGCUGGGCAGUAGCUGACGCUGAUGCGCGACAGCGUGGGGAGCAAACAGG
rnacentral:rRNA from 1 species